CCAGCAGCUGCGGUAAUUCCAGCUCCAAUAGCGUAUAUUAAAGUUGUUGCAGUUAAAAAGCUCGUAGUCUGAAUCUUGGUCUGGUGUUGAGUAUCCGUGGCUCCCUCACGGGAGUUGCGUGCAUGCGACAUACACUGGCCAGCUUUUGUACUUCGGAGGAACGCAGGUGCUUUUCAUUAAGUGCUUGUUUGGGAUUCCGAUAGUUUACUUUGAGAAAAAUAGAGUGUUCAAAGCAGGCGUUUUUGCCUUGAAUACAUUAGCAUGGGAUAAUGGAAUAGGACAUUGGUUCUAUUUUGUUGGUUUACGGACCGAUGUAAUGAUUAAUAGGAACAGUUGGGGACAUUCAUAUUCCGCGGCUAGAGGUGAAAUUCUUGGAUUCGUGGAAGAUGAACUACUGCGAAAGCAUUUGUCAAAGAUGUUUUCAUUGAUCAAGAACGAAAGU
rnacentral:rRNA from 1 species